rnacentral:rRNA from 1 species
UACGUAGGUGGCGAGCGUUGUCCGGAUUUACUGGGCGUAAAGGGAGCGUAGGCGGACUUUUAAGUGAGAUGUGAAAUACUCGGGCUCAACUUGAGUGCUGCAUUUCAAACUGGAAGUCUAGAGUGCAGGAGAGGAGAAUGGAAUUCCUAGUGUAGCGGUGGAAUGCGUAGAGAUUAGGAAGAACACCAGUGGCGAAGGCGAUUCUCUGGACUGUGACUGACGCUGAGGCUCGAAAGCGUGGGGAGCAAACAGG